CCUACGGGAGGCAGCAGUGGGGAAUAUUGGACAAUGGGCGAAAGCCUGAUCCAGCAAUGCCGCGUGAGUGAUGAAGGCCUUAGGGUUGCAAAGCUCUUUUACCCGGGAUGAUAAUGACAGUACCGGGAGAAUAAGCCCCGGCUAACUCCGUGCCAGCAGCCGCGGUAAU
rnacentral:rRNA from 1 species